UUACACAGGUAAGACAAUUCCUAUACCCAUAAAUACCUGUCAAACAUGGUUUUAUUAAAGAAAAGUUAUUUUAAAAAAAUACUUUAAUUUUUACACAUAAGAAAGGUAUAGCAUGUGGCAAAAAGUGUAAUAUAGCCACACUGUGAGAUACAAGCAAGUGACGAUCGAGUGACGUCAUUCUUUAGGUUACGCGCAUGUAGCCAUGGCAACGCUCGGCUGCGUCGACAGUUAACGGUCCUGCCGGUGAUUUUCUCAGAUGAGGCCUUGAGUUUUCUCUUUCGUCGGUCGAAAAGUUGUUGUCCGUCGCGGCUGACCGUUACGGCCUAUCUUCAAAUGUACGCUAAUCUUGGUCUCACGAAUCCAAAUUGUCAGUAACAAAUGUUUCUUAAUAGACAAACGAUACCUGAAACAUUAUUGAAUGUGUUCAUUUUGUCGUUUUAGGUUAGAAGCCAUCGAAAAAAACUGCCAUCGGACUACCACAGCUGACAACGAGAGACGCGCGUGCACAACUGCAUAACACACACACACACACACACACACACACACACACACGGAAAGAGCACAACAAUUAUGAAACUGCUCAUUUACUAUAAAUAAAUAAAUGUAUUUUUCUCCUUA